AACGAACGCUGGCGGCAUGCCUAACACAUGCAAGUCGAACGAGACCUUCGGGUCUAGUGGCGCAUGGGUGCGUAACGCGUGGGAACCUGCCCUUAGGUUCGGAAUAACUCCCCGAAAGGGGUGCUAAUACCGGAUAAUGUCUUCGGACCAAAGAUUUAUCGCCUUUGGAUGGGCCCGCGUUGGAUUAGCUAGUUGGUAGGGUAAAAGCCUACCAAGGCGACGAUCCAUAGCUGGUCUGAGAGGAUGGUCAGCCACACUGGGACUGAGACACGGCCCAGACUCCUACGGGAGGCAGCAGUGGGGAAUAUUGGACAAUGGGCGAAAGCCUGAUCCAGCAAUGCCGCGUGAGUGAUGAAGGCCUUAGGGUUGUAAAGCUCUUUUACCCGGGAUGAUAAUGACAGUACCGGGAGAAUAAGCUCCGGCUAACUCCGUG
rnacentral:rRNA from 1 species